ACGACCUUACUUGAACAGGAUCUGUUCUAUAGGAUCGUACCUCUGCAUCCUUGAUUUCUAAGGAAGCAGGUCACCAAGUCUGGUGGAUGACAAAAGACUGCUUGACCAGAGCGUGAUUAACAGCUCUUCCCGGUCAGUGCGGCUGGGGUGGUCAUGCAGUUGUCUGACAGACC
rfam:Daucus carota subsp. sativus cultivar DH1 chromosome 2, whole genome shotgun sequence.